rnacentral:sRNA from 1 species
GCUGGGCACAGUGGCAUACACCUGUAGUCCCAGCUCCUCAGGAGGUUGAGGCAGGAGAAUUGCUUAAGGCUAGGAGUUUGAGGCCAGCCUGGCAACAGAGCAAGACCCCAUCUCAA